UUGAUCAAAAUGAAGAUGUAUGAUAGAUAUUUUAGCAGAUAACCCUGUAUGGGUUACUGUGAAGUGACAAGUGGCCUAAAAAAGAAGAAAACAUAAUCAAAUUGAACUUUCAGAGCCCAAAGUUGGUUUCCUCCUUGUUUCCCUCAACUUGAGUUGAAAUCAACAGAUUUGACUUUGAAGCUGCUGCCUAGUUCCUCAAAUUAUGUUAGUGGGGCUGUGCCAAGAAGUUAAAAGACACCUUGAGAAUAGUGGGACAAAAGGGGCAGCGGGGGCCAACCACACCCUAGAAGCCCUAGCAUCAGACCCAGUGGAGCAGAGCCCCUCGCCCCUGCAUGGGGGUGGAGAGGUUAAAUGCACCAGGGUGCUACCGUGAACACACUCUCAGAGAGACAGAACAGAGCACAGAGCCAGAGAUCACUACAGCCACCACCACCGCCACCACCGUCGCUCGACAGCAAGCAAACACAACAACACGGAGACAAUCUGAAAUGCAGGGAGAUUAAAAGAGAGCGAAAGAAAGAAGAGACUGUGGAAAUUCGGCGAAAGGGAAAAUGGAGUUGUGCACCAGCCCCUUCACCCCUUUAACCUCGCCCCUUCCGUUAACGCUUCUCUUCCCCAGCUGGAGAGAGAGAGUCCAGGUACACCACAGUCCUCCUACUGCUAGCUCUCUCCUCCCCACACAUACACCUCUGCCGUUCCCCACACCUCCCAACAAACACACACACAAGCAUGGACACUCACACAACCACACAAGCAUAAGCAUACACACACACACACACACACACACACACACACGUGUGCACACACAC
rnacentral:lncRNA from 1 species